AUAUAGGCACUCAGAGGGCCUUUUGUCAGUGACCCACUGAGCAGUCAAAAAGGGCAGAUUAAAAAGCACUUUUGAUUAAAGCGGCAACAUCUCAUAUUGUUCAGCUUCAAUCAGUGAUGUGACAAAA
rnacentral:snoRNA from 1 species